UACGUAGGGGGCAAGCGUUGUCCGGAUUUAUUGGGCGUAAAGAGCGUGUAGGCGGCCUGAAAGGUCAGCUGUGAAAACUCGAGGCUCAACCUCGAGACGCCGAUGGAAACCAUCAGACUAGAGUCCGGAAGAGGAGAGUGGAAUUCCUGGUGUAGCGGUGAAAUGCGCAGAUAUCAGGAAGAACACCCGUGGCUAAGGCGGCUCUCUAGUACGGUACUGACGCUGAGACGCGAAAGCGUGGGGAGCGAACAGG
rnacentral:rRNA from 1 species